CUUGGGAUCAAGCAAUCUGCCCACCUUGGCCUCCCUGAGCCAGGAUUAUAGGCAUAAGCCACUAUGCUUGGCCCUGAAAAACUUUUUAUUAGAAAUUGCAAAACUUAUCCUCUUUUUCAAGCUGAUCUUUUAAUGUUCAAAUUUUACAAUAUAUAAAGUCUUAUAUAUCAUGUAGUCAGCACAGUCAAGUUACUUAAGUUUUCUCAGCCUCUUUUACAUUUGUAUUUUGUAGUGUUAUUAUAAGGCAAUAGAAAUUUGUAAAUUAGAUGAGACAAUGCCUUAAAUAUUAGGUCUCUCAGUAAUAUAGUUGAAUAGCGUAAAUGGCUUUUUUGGAUAAUCUACAGAAAGUAAUGUUAAAAGUGAAAUAACAUUGCUGGAAGUUAAAUCUCCUGGCAUCUCUAAAUCUGCAGUCUGUCAGUAUGAAGUUAACUAAUAAAGCCUAGAAUAGAAUAAUAUCUUUUUUUUUCACCCAAAACACUGGCCACUUAUUUGAGUAUGUAGUCUUUGACAAAGCUCAGUAUCUUGGUUGGUUUUCCUCUUUUGAAGAUGGUCCUAAUGAUGUUUGCUUUCCAUUUGGAAGCAUCCUGUUUUGCGAACUUGUUAUUUAGUUGUUAAUGUAUGUACCUUUUUCCAAGUAGAUUAAGGAUCUGAAAAUGGAGGUCUAUACCUAAAAUUUUUUUUUGAAUUACCAGUGCUUAAUAAAUUUUUCAGCAUUUUUAAUGUACUGAAUGGUUUGUUUUUUUUUUUUUUUUUUGGUAAUUGACUAAUUUGAGUAUGUUUAAAUUUCUUAAGUUGGGCAAAAAAAAUCCAAUUUUCACUGAAUAUUCGGUGUUGUAAAUGGCAUUCUACUAACCAAGCCAAAAAAACCCUCAAACCAAAACAGAGUGGUGUUCAUUAAAGUGUUAGUUCUGAGCAUGGGGGUUUCAGUCUGUUUUGUUCAUUGCUGUGACCUUUUCUGUGCCUGGAAUAACUCCUAUCACACUGUAGGUGUUGCAUGCUAAUUGUUGAAUCAGUGAAUAUGCCGGAAGUUUUCACCUUAAUAGUUAUGCCUCAUUCCUGCUCCAUUGUGAUUGACAGCAUGCCCUCUAUUUCCAGGGUCUUGCCUAGUAAGUGGGGACAUUUAGCAGAUUUCACAGGGCUAUUUUAGAAAGAUUUCUGGAAAUAUCAAAUGUAAAAUUACUUCAAAAAUGUGAGGUGCUACAUAGAUAUACAGAAACAUUCCUAAUGUACAGUUUUUCAUUUAGAAAUUGAACCUAAAAUACAGGGAAUCCUCUUUGCCUGGCUACUUAUACUUCAUAGAAAACUAAAUGUUUUUUGGCAGAGGAUGGGUAUCUGUUUUCUCUACCUACAAAUAAAGAUAUUUGUUAGGGAUCUUACACUGAAAAGUUUUGUGAGUGUAUUUUUUUCAACAAUCACAGAAAAUCCAAGACAGUCUCUUUACUUAGUUCUUUUGUUUUUUUAUUACAUCUGUAUGUGUUCCAUUUCUAACUUGCCUAUCUUUCUGCCCCCCUCCACCCCUUUAGAAUAAAAAUAACAGAACCACAUAGAACUUUCAUGAGUGGGAUUAACUCACAUGCUACCCUAAACUGAAAUAAGGCUAAUCUAGGGUUUUUGGUAAAUUUAUUCACGAGGCUGGGAUGUUAAAUAACCAAAUAACGAUUGAAAGCUUAUCUGAGUAAUUUGAAAUACCCAAUAUAUGGCUUAGUUAAUUUGGGGCCAGUUAAUAAAAGCUUAUCUUGGCUUAAGGUUCUUGAAUGCCUGUAACUAUUGAAUCAGGACAGGUCACAUUUGAGCAGAGUAGGUAUACUUUUCACAAAUAGUGGAGGCCUACACAAUUACUAUCCUUGGCUCAUGUUUCGCUAUGACCAUCUGUCAUUUCCUCUGGGAUUAUAUGGUAAGGAAAUGUGAAUAGAAAUCACCCCAUUCAUUGAGUUUUUUUUUUUUUUUUAAAUCUUCAUAUGGUACCAGUUCCCAAUCUUAUUUUAGCUGUCAUAAUGGAGUGUUAAUGUCCAAAUUUAGCUGAUGAAAAAGAAAGUUGUAGGCUAAUCCACAGCUCUGCAGAUGACCCUUUCAUUUGUUAAAAUCCACACAGAUUGAACUGAGACAUUAAGCUUAUCAAAUGUCUGUGUUCUGGAAACUGUCCAGUCUCUCCUUGCUUUGCCCAAGAUGUUAUCUCCAUCAGCUCAUAUUUCUAGUCUUGAGAUGCUCUGUCAAAUUUGGAACACAAAAUUAAAACUUAGUCUGUAGGGUUCAUUUUGGGUAAGCUUUUCUUUUUCCACUGGAAAAACCAUCUGGAAUCAUAUUGGAAUUUUUUUGCAGAGACAGGGUCUCUUGAUAUAUGCUUUUAUUCCUGUGUGCUGAAAAUGAAAAAUGCCUUGUCAUAGCUGUGGGAUUUCAUCACAUCUUUAUGUUGCUUUGCUCUUAUGUUCAGAAUAGCCCUGAUGCAUUUGCUUCAGUAUUGGCAAUGAUUUAGUACAGUAACAGAUAAUCAGGGAAUCAGGGAUUGUGCUUCUGUGAAAUUUGCAGGUUCAGUCCAUUAUACCCUGUAACCCGACGUAUGUUUGCCAGAUUUCCUUAAAUAAUCCUUCUUUCCUUUGCGAAUUGUACAUAUGUUUCCAUGUGGUUUUUUUCUUUGGUUUCACUUUGCAUUUCUACCAUGAUUCGAAAAGUGUUUAUCAAAAUAAACAUUAAUGGUUGUUCUGGUGAAUUUAUUGACAUGUUAUUUUGUUACCUAUCUCCACCAAGGAAAAAAUAAAACAAUAGAGAUUCUCUUAAAGUAGUUGUCUACUGCUUUUAUACUACUGUGAUGAGUGAUUAAAUUUUACUGUAUGGCAGUGAAAGUUUUAUUUUGAUAGGUGUUGGCACCUUUUCCUGGGACCUCUACAGAAUAGUCAGGUUUAAAGCAAGACUUUCUAGACUCUUUUUUCUGAAACACUGGGGCCUGAUCAGAUGAUUACAGUACAUGAAAUGUGUUGAGUACUUAUUAGGUACAGUCACAGUGCUAAGUACAGGGUGCAGUGGUAAGCAAGACGAGCUUAGUGCCUGCCCUUGGGAACAUGUAUUCUGGUGUGAAAAACAGAUGACACAGAUAGCAGCUCUUUGUUCUUCCUGUCCCAUAAAAGAAGCAUAAUGAUGCGAAUGGGAGCCUAACCCGGAGUAUGGUCAGAAAAUGAUUUCCCAAAGAUGGGCAUCAGCUGGGACCUGAGAAUGGGAAGCCUGAGGAUGACUUGUGAAGUUGUAGCUGUCACUCCAGGCCUAGAUGAUACUGGAUUUCAUCUGUGUGUGCUUAGAGCUGUCGUCUUAAGUUUUGACCAGUGAUUAAAUGGAAACAAGUUGAUAGUCGAGAUAGGGUCCCCAUUCUGACUUUUAUUUUUCAUGUCUACUUUGAGACUGUUGUCCUGGUUAGAGAAGUCCCACAGAAGGAUCCAAUAAUAGUCCUGAGGGAAGAGCAUUAAAUGUGCGAUCAUACAGCAGGUUAAGGUCUGAGAAUUAGAUAAAGUCUAAUCCUUUAAUUAUGAUUAAAUGCCUUAUCCAUUAAGAUUAUGUUUCCUGUUAAAACCUAAGAAACAUUUGACCUAUUAAACUUAAUAUCAGGAACAAUUAUAAAACUCUGGUUUCUGUGGAAUAAAUGUUAUUCAGUAGUA